rnacentral:lncRNA from 1 species
GGACAGUCAUCGGGUUAGACACAGGGACAGGACCCAGCCACAUGCUGCUCACUAAGGGGGAGCACCAAAAAAAAAAAGCCAAAGAAAUGGGCGCAGCCGGCAAGCCGUGGCCAGAAGAUGCUGGCCCCAGUCACAUCAGAGCAGAAUGCACUUCAGGACCAAGAACAUUACCGGGGACAGGAGGGACACUUCGAAAUGAGAAAGAGUCCAUUCAUCCAAAGACAUGAAAAUCCCGAAUGUGAGUGGACCCCAGAACACAGCUUCAACACACAGGGGGAGAACUAGAAGGAAGAAAUCCAGGCCCCACAGGCCCCCGAGAGGCCGACAGAUGGGGCCCAUCCAUGACGGAGGGUCCGGAAGAGCACCUGAGAAGAGGGCUGGGGAGAGGAAGCGCCAUCCUCUGUGGAUUGUGGGGGUGUGGUGCUGGGGGCUGAACCCAGGCCUGGGCAGGCGAGGCAAGCCCUCUCCCAGCUGAGCGAACCCCCAGCCCCUCGGUGGGGUUUUACUUUGAAGAGGGCAAAGAAUUGACGGGAGGUGAGUGGGAAGAGGGGACAACGGAGGACGGAGACGGGGAGUAAGAGCGCUUCUACACACUGGUGGGGACACCUGGAGCCGGGGAGGGGCCUGGACGCAGCACAGUGAGAGGACAACUGCAGGCACAGUGUCCUCCAGGGGCAGAGACGACGGGACACGGGCAUAAAGGAGGCUUGGCCUCAAGGGCAGGUGGUGGGGUGCCAUGGAUGGGGGACCCUUUCCCACGGUGGAGUUUGCCUCAGCCACUGGGCCCUGCUCUGCAGCUAGGCCUCCUGAGGGCAGGGUGGAGGCAGCUUGGGCGGGACCCUCACUGGUCUCUGACACUCUGGGAGCUUCUGUUCUCUGUCUUUGUCCCAAGAUAAC